GACGAACGCUGGCGGCGUGCUUAACACAUGCAAGUCGAACGGAAAGGCCCUGCUUUUGUGGGGUGCUCGAGUGGCGAACGGGUGAGUAACACGUGAGUAACCUGCCCUUGACUUUGGGAUAACUUCAGGAAACUGGGGCUAAUACCGGAUAGGAGCUCCUGCUGCAUGGUGGGGGUUGGAAAGUUUCGGCGGUUGGGGAUGGACUCGCGGCUUAUCAGCUUGUUGGGGGGGUAGUGGCGUACCAAGGCUUUGACGGGUAGCCGGCCUGAGAGGGUGACCGGCCACAUUGGGACUGAGAUAGGGCCCAGACUCCUACGGGAGGCAGCAGUGGGGAAUAUUGCACAAUGGGCGGAAGCCUGAUGCAGCAACGCCGCGUGCGGGAUGACGGCCUUCGGGUUGUAAACCGCUUUCGCCUGUGACGAAGCGUGAGUGACGGUAAUGGGUAAAGAAGCACCGGCUAACUACGUG
rnacentral:rRNA from 1 species